rnacentral:rRNA from 1 species
UACGCAGGGAGCUAGCGUUGUUCGGAAUCACUGGGCGUAAAGCGCGUGUAGGCGGCUUUGCAAGUCGGGUGUGAAAGCCCUCAGCUUAACUGAGGAAGUGCGCCCGAAACUGCAGAGCUUGAGUACCGGAGAGGGUGGCGGAAUUCCCCAAGUAGAGGUGAAAUUCGUAGAUAUCGAGAGGAACAUCGGUGGCGAAGGCGGCCUUCUGGACAGUGACUGACGCUGAGACGCGAAAGCGUGGGGAGCAAACAGG